rnacentral:lncRNA from 1 species
GGACAAGUUGGACAAACUGAAAUCAGUGUACAGCAAGUGGGGACGACAGGCAAGAAGCGCGCUCGCAAGGCCCCCCAUUCCGGGAGAGGAAAGCUCCACUUUCCAGAAAGCGCCCUUCAUCGUCUCGCUGAUGAGAUUCUGUAUCUGCACACGGAACAUCGUCACGCCGCCUCGAUUUCCCAGUUCUCUGCCCCUCAGCCCUGGAGCAGCCCUUCUGAGUCGAACUGAGCGCCAAACUGAGGACUUGGCCACUCAAUACUCUUCAGCAGGUCGCCCGUUGUGACUCUGUACCAAGAGACAGGGGUGUGAGCUUGAACUGCUUCUCGCUGAAUCGACCGGGAAACUCAAUCAAAGGACGGGAUUCUCCCAGCAGAGAGGCUGGUGCCCAAGGGCACGUGCCCCAGGACUGGGCUGCCUCCGGGGCACCGAGCACAGACGAGGGCCGGGCGGCCGCGGAGCCGCGCGUGGCUCAGCUCCCGGAGCGCGGGCCACACGCCUGCGACAGCAGAGCCCGCCGGCCCUCUCCUCCCCUCCGCCGGCUGGCGGAGCUGCCAGUGACAGGAAGGCCAAGGCGAGGUGCUCAGCAAGAAAGGGAGCUGAGGGCUGUCCCCGCUGGGAUGCCCAGGGGCGGAUCCACCUUUGAACAUGGCCCAGGUGGGAGGCCUGGACGCGUCUCCGCGGUUCUUCCCUCUCCCCUGGCACACCCGCCUUUCUCCCGCUGGCUCGAGCUCCCGCGUGCCUCCCCGGUGGUGACAGGAUGGAGGACCGCACCUCUAACUCAUAAGAGCCAGGGUCCCCCCUUCUCAGCGCUCGCACAGAACUUGCCCCUCAUUGGCCAGGAUCCAGUCACGUGCCCACCCCUGACCCAGCCACUCUGGGGCCAGGGGAGCUUGUACUCUGAUUGGCCAGGUCAGGGUCACAGGGUAUUUCUGGCGCUGUGAGCGGAGUCGGAACCGCCUGAUGAUGGCUGAGAAUUGGGAGCUGGGGGGUGCUUACAGAACUGAGAUGUUGCUACUAGAAGUAGCAUGAGUGGGUGCUGGCGCAGUAAAAUGGUGAUGUUCCCUACAGUGGAGAGAGGACAAGGAGGCAGUGGAAGACUGGGAUGGGGGCAGGAGAGCAAGCGGAAAGGUCAUCUCUCGGCAGGCGUCUGUUGAUGGUCUGCUGAACUGCCCCAAGAGGGCUGACUGAGCCGACGGGGACGCCUCUGAAAGGCCCUGCAGUGACUGCAGAAACUGGCCUACACCUCGAAGGCUGUGGUUCUCACAUAGGAGCUUUUUAAACAUCUCGGUGCUUGAACCCCACCUCCAGAGAUUCUAUUUUAAUUGUUUGGGGUGGGGCGGUGGUGAGGCUAGGUAUGGGUAGUGUUAAAAAGCCUCCCCAGGUGAUUCUGUUGGACAGCCCUGUUUGAGAACCGCUCUCCUGCAGCAUCUGCCUUCCAUUGUUUGGUGAACCUGCCCACAAAAGGGGGAAAAAGUGUAUCCAAGUCCCAAGAACCCUCAUCCUAGCUAAUCAAACCAAUUUUGCCCACUCAAGGUUAGGAGAAUUGAGCCCGGGGUGCUCGGGGAGGCUGGGGGCUUCUCUGUUGGAUGAUGAGAGAAUAAGUAUAUUAAAGAGCGCCUUCCUUUAUCUUCUGGCUGUUUUCCUUUUGCACUGCUUCCUCUAAUAUCUUUCUAUCCUAAUCUCAACAGCCAUGCUGUCAUCAUAUUAAUUUACAACACAAAUUGUCGAAAAGGCGGAACGUUUGAAAAAUGUGCUCAGAGGGAGAAUUUCUCCCACUCUUACUCUCCCUGAAGACCGG